rnacentral:rRNA from 1 species
UGAGGAAUAUUGGUCAAUGGACGCGAGUCUGAACCAGCCAAGUAGCGUGAAGGAUGACUGCCCUAUGGGUUGUAAACUUCUUUUAUAUGGGAAUAAAGUGGUCCACGUGUGGAUUUUUGUAUGUACCAUAUGAAUAAGGAUCGGCUAACUCCGUGCCAGCAGCCGCGGUAAUACGGAGGAUCCGAGCGUUAUCCGGAUUUAUUGGGUUUAAAGGGAGCGUAGGCGGAUUGUUAAGUCAGUUGUGAAAGUUUGCGGCUCAACCGUAAAAUUGCAGUUGAUACUGGCAGUCUUGAGUGCAGUAGAGGUGGGCGGAAUUCGUGGUGUAGCGGUGAAAUGCUUAGAUAUCACGAAGAACUCCGAUUGCGAAGGCAGCUCACUGGAGUGUAACUGACGCUGAUGCUCGAAAGUGUGGGUAUCAAACAGGAUUAGAUACCCUGGUAGUCCACACAGUAAACGAUGAAUACUCGCUGUUUGCGAUAUACAGUCAGCGGCUUAGCGAAAGCGUUAAGUAUCCCACCUGGGGAGUACGCCGGCAACGGUGAAACUCAAAGGAAUUGACGGGGGCCCGCACAAGCGGAGGAACAUGUGGUUUAAUUCGAUGAUACGCGAGGAACCUUACCCGGGCUUAAAUUGCAAAGGAAUAAUCUGGAAACAGAUUAGUCUUCGGACCUUUGUGAAGGUGCUGCAUGGUUGUCGUCAGCUCGUGCCGUGAGGUGUCGGCUUAAGUGCCAUAACGAGCGCAACCCUCGCCGCCAGUUACUAACAGGUAAUGCUGAGGACUCUGGCGGGACUGCCAUCGUAAGAUGUGAGGAAGGUGGGGAUGACGUCAAAUCAGCACGGCCCUUACGUCCGGGGCUACACACGUGUUACAAUGGGCGGUACAGAAGGCAGCUACCUGGCGACAGGAUGCCAAUCCCUAAAGCCGCUCUCAGUUCGGACUGGAGUCUGCAACCCGACUCCACGAAGCUGGAUUCGCUAGUAAUCGCGCAUCAGCCACGGCGCGGUGAAUACGUUCCC